rnacentral:SRP_RNA from 1 species
UGUACUAAGCCGAUUUGGUAUCCACACUAAGUUUGACAUCAGUGUGGUCCAGGCUGCCUAAGGAGGGGUGAACUGGCCCAGACCAGAACCAGAGCAGGUCAAAACUCCUGUGCUGAUGAGUAGUGGGAUCGUGCCUGUGAAUAGGCG